UGCCAGCAGCCGCGGUAAUACGAAGGGACCUAGCGUAGUUCGGAAUUACUGGGCUUAAAGAGUUCGUAGGUGGUUGAAAAAGUUAGUGGUGAAAUCCCAGAGCCUAACUCAGGAACUGCAUUCGAUACUGGAUCGCUAGAGUAUAUUAGAGGAUAGUGGAAUUUCAAGUGUAGCGGUGAAAUGCGUAGAUAUUUGAAGGAACACCAAUGGCGAAGGCAGCUAUCUGGAAUAAUACUGACGCUGAGGUACGAAAGCGUGGGGAGCAAACAGGAUUAGAUA
rnacentral:rRNA from 1 species